rnacentral:rRNA from 1 species
UACAUAGGGUGCAAGCGUUGUCCGGAAUUAUUGGGCGUAAAGAGCUCGUAGGUUGUUUGUCGCGUCGAUUGUGAAAAUCUGAGGCUCAACCUCAGACCUGCAGUCGAUACGGGCAAACUAGAGUGUGGUAGGGGAGACUGGAAUUCCUGGUGUAGCGGUGGAAUGCGCAGAUAUCAGGAGGAACACCAAUGGCGAAGGCAGGUCUCUGGGCCAUAACUGACACUGAGGAGCGAAAGUGCGGGGAGCGAACGGGAUUAGAUACCCUGGUAGUCCGCACCGUAAACGGUGGGCACUAGUUGUGGGAACCUUCCACGGUUUCCGCGACGCAGCAAACGCAUUAAGUGCCCCGCCUGGGGAGUACGAUCGCAAGAUUAAAACUCAAAGGAAUUGACGGGGCCCCGCACAAGCAGCGGAGCAUGCGGCUUAAUUCGACGCAACGCGAAGAACCUUGCCAAGGCUUGACAUAUAGCGAAAAGUGGCAGAGAUGUCAUGUCCGCAAGGGCGCUAUACAGGUGGUGCAUGGUUGUCGUCAGCUCGUGUCGUGAGAUGUUGGGUUAAGUCCCGCAACGAGCGCAACCCUCGUUCUGUGUUACCAGCAUUCAGUUGGGGACUCACAGGAGACUGCCGGGGUCAACUCGGAGGAAGGUGGGGAUGACGUCAAAUCAUCAUGCCCCUUAUGUCCAGGGCUGCACGCAUGCUACAAUGGCCGGUACAAAGUGCUGCGAGAUCGUAAGAUUGAGCGAAUCACAUAAAGCCAGUCUCAGUUCGGAUUGAGGUCUGCAACUCGACCUCAUGAAGUCGGAGUUGCUAGUAAUCGUAGAUCAGCAACGCUACGGUGAAUACGUUCCCGGGGCU